rnacentral:rRNA from 1 species
AUGGAGGACAAGAAGAAGGACCUGCUACGGCGGCUGACCAUCAUCUCCAUCCCGUUCGUGUUCGUGGCGAUCCCGUCCAUCGUCAUCUUCGUGGGCAUGCUGUCCCCGCACGCGCCGGGGCCCAAGGUGGCGGUGGCGUCGCCGGAGCAGAACCACACGGUGGGGAUGCUGAGCACCAUGACCGGCGGGCAGAUGAUCCUGAGCUGCCGCGCCGCCUUCGCGGGCAACUGGGAGUACUUCCACUACUUCAUCCUGGACCCCUACAAGCCGCAGCACGCCUUCUUCCAGCCCCAGACCGACCACUACGCCAUCCUCUGCAAGUGGGGCUACAUGGGCAACUUCCUCCAGGACGUGGUCGUCUUCAACAGCAGCGAGCCCUACGCCAAGCUCUGCGCCGUCAACGCCGGCGGGUGCCGCUACCUGUUCCAGGAUGGCCAGAUGUUCCUCGUCACCGGGAGGCACGCCACCAAGGCGGCGCCGUGGCAGCACCGGGACAAGAAGCUCGUCGGAGACGUGCUGCUCAGAGACUGCAAGCACAUCCUCGGCAUCUUCCCCACCAUGUGCCACUACACGAAACACGACCACCAGUACGUCGGCAAGAUCAUCGGCCGGUGGAGCUGGUGGUUCAACUACUAG